GAACCACAGGGAUUGCCCUAGUAACGGCGAGUGAAGCGGCAACAGCUCAAAUUUGAAAUCUGGCGCAAGCCCGAGUUGUAAUUUGUAGAGGAUGCUUCUGGGUAGCGACCGAUCUAAGUUCCUUGGAACAGGACGUCAUAGAGGGUGAGAAUCCCGUAUGUGACCGGCCCGCACCCUUUACGUAGCUCCUUCGACGAGUCGAGUUGUUUGGGAAUGCAGCUCUAAAUGGGAGGUAAAUUUCUUCUAAAGCUAAAUACCGGCCAGAGACCGAUAGCGCACAAGUAGAGUGAUCGAAAGAUGAAAAGUACUUUGGAAAGAGAGUUAAAAAGCACGUGAAAUUGUUGAAAGGGAAGCGCCUGCAACCAGACUUCGUGGCAGUGUUCCGCCGGUCUUCUGACCGGUUCAUUCUCUGUCGCGAGGCCAUCAUCGUCUGGGCCCGCCGGAUAAGACCUGAGGAAUGUGGCUCCCCCUCGGGGGAGUGUUAUAGCCUCUGGUGAUGCGGCGAGGCUCGGGCGAGGUCCGCGCUUCGGCAAGGAUGAUGGCGUAAUGGUUGUCGGCGGCCCGUCUUGAAACACGGACCAAGGAGUCUAACAUCUAUGCGAGUGUUCGGGUGUCAAACCCCUACGCGUAAUGAAAGUGAACGGAGGUGGGAACCGCAAGGUGCACCAUCGACCGAUCCUGAUGUCCUCGGAUGGAUUUGAGUAAGAGCAUAGCUGUUGGGACCCGAAAGAUGGUGAACUAUGCCUGAAUAGGGUGAAGCCAGAGGAAACUCUGGUGGAGGCUCGCAGCGGUUCUGACGUGCAAAUCGAUCGUCAAAUUUGGGUAUA
rnacentral:rRNA from 1 species